rnacentral:tRNA from 1 species
GGGCAGUUAGUCUAAAAAAGACCCUUGAUUUCGGCUCAAGAAACCAUGGUUAAUUUCCAUGACUGCCCU